rnacentral:hammerhead_ribozyme from 1 species
GCUUUGCUGAGGAGUCCCACAAUAGGACUAAACGGCUGUUCAAUAC